CGAGUAGACGGCCAUACAAGUCAGAUGUGAAACUUAGAGCUCAACUUUAAGACUGCAUCUGAAACUGGUAUAGCUAGAGUGCAGGAGAGGAAAGUGGAAUUUCUAGUGUAGCGGUAAAAUGCAUAGAUAUUAGGAGGAACACCAGUGGCGAAGGCGACUUUCUGGACUGUAACUGACGUUGAGGCGCGAAAGUGUGGGGAGCAAACAG
rnacentral:rRNA from 1 species